rnacentral:rRNA from 1 species
GAUGAACGCUGGCGGCGUGCCUAAUACAUGCAAGUCGAGCGAACGGACGAGGAGCUUGCUUCUCUGAUGUUAGCGGCGGACGGGUGAGUAACACGUGGAUAACCUACCUAUAAGACUGGGAUAACUUCGGGAAACCGGAGCUAAUACCGGAUAAUAUAUUGAACCGCAUGGUUCAAUAGUGAAAGACGGUUUUGCUGUCACUUAUAGAUGGAUCCGCGCUGCAUUAGCUAGUUGGUAAGGUAACGGCUUACCAAGGCAACGAUGCAUAGCCGACCUGAGAGGGUGAUCGGCCACACUGGAACUGAGACACGGUCCAGACUCCUACGGGAGGCAGCAGUAGGGAAUCUUCCGCAAUGGGCGAAAGCCUGACGGAGCAACGCCGCGUGAGUGAUGAAGGUCUUCGGAUCGUAAAACUCUGUUAUUAGGGAAGAACAUAUGUGUAAGUAACUAUGCACAUCUUGACGGUACCUAAUCAGAAAGCCACGGCUAACUACGUG